AACCGUAUCGCGCCACCCAACAGGAGA
rnacentral:sRNA from 1 species